rnacentral:rRNA from 1 species
CCUACGGGGGGCUGCAGUGGGGAAUAUUGCACAAUGGGGGAAACCCUGAUGCAGCGACGCCGCGUGAGCGAUGAAGUAUUUCGGUAUGUAAAGCUCUAUCAGCAAGGAAGAUAAUGACGGUACUUGACUAAGAAGCCCCGGCUAACUACGUGCCAGCAGCCGCGGUAAUACGUAGGGGGCAAGCGUUAUCCGGAUUUACUGGGUGUAAAGGGAGCGUAGACGGUCAGGCAAGUCUGAUGUGAAAGCCCGGGGCUCAACCCCGGAAUUGCAUUGGAAACUGCUUGACUAGAGUGCAGGAGAGGUAAGUGGAAUUCCUAGUGUAGCGGUGAAAUGCGUAGAUAUUAGGAGGAACACCAGUGGCGAAGGCGGCUUACUGGACUGUAACUGACGUUGAGGCUCGAAAGCGUGGGGAGCAAACAGGAUUAGAUACCCCUGUAGUC